GAUGAACGCUAGCUACAGGCUUAACACAUGCAAGUCGAGGGGUAACGUGAGGAAAGCUUGCUUUCCUUGUCGACGACCGGCGCACGGGCGAGUAACGCGUAUCCAACCUGCCCCCAACUAGGGAAUAACCUUGCGAAAGUAAGACUAAUACCCUAUAAUUUCCUCAGAUGUCAUCUGACGAGGAAUAAAGAUCUAUCGGUUGUGGAUGGGGAUGCGUCUGAUUAGCUUGUUGGCGGGGUAACGGCCCACCAAGGCAACGAUCAGUAGGGGUUCUGAACGGAAAGUCCACCAAAUUGGAACUGAGACACGGUCCAAACUCCUAAGGGAGGCAGCAGUGAGGGAUAUUGGUCAAUGGGCGGAAGCCUGAACCAGCCAAGUAGCGUGCAGGAUGACGGCCCUAUGGGUUGUAAACUGCUUUUAUACAGGAAUAAAGUUAGCCACGUGUGGUUAUUUGUAGGUACUGUAUGAAUAAGGACCGGCUAAUUCCGUGCCAGCCGCCGCGGUAAGAC
rnacentral:rRNA from 1 species